GGGUUGUGAGGUUAAGCGACUAAGCGUACACGGUGGAUGCCCUGGCAGUCAGAGGCGAUGAAGGACGUGCUAAUCUGCGAAAAGCGCCGGCGAGGUGAUAUGAACCUUUGACCCGGCGAUGUCCGAAUGGGGAAACCCAGUGUGAUCCGUCACACUAUCGUUAACUGAAUACAUAGGUUAACGAGGCGAACCGGGGGAACUGAAACAUCUAAGUACCCCGAGGAAAAGAAAUCAACCGAGAUUCCCCCAGUAGCGGCGAGCGAACGGGGAGCAGCCCAGAGUCUGAAUCAGCUUGUGUGUUAGUGGAAGCGUCUGGAAAGUCGCACGGUACAGGGUGACAGUCCCGUACACGAAAGCACACUUGCUGUGAACUCGAAGAGUAGGGCGGGACACGUGGUAUCCUGUCUGAAUAUGGGGGGACCAUCCUCCAAGGCUAAAUACUCCUGACUGACCGAUAGUGAACCAGUACCGUGA
rnacentral:rRNA from 1 species